GACGAACGCUGGCGGCGUGCUUAACACAUGCAAGUCGAACGAGAAUCUGUGGAAAGAGGAUUCGUCCAAUUGAAGCAGAGGACAGUGGCGGACGGGUGAGUAACGCGUGAGGAACCUGCCUUUCAGAGGGGGACAACAGUUGGAAACGACUGCUAAUACCGCAUAACACAUCGGAGUCGCAUGGCUCUGAUGUCAAAGAUUUAUCGCUGAAAGAUGGCCUCGCGUCUGAUUAGCUAGUUGGUGAGGUAACGGCCCACCAAGGCGACGAUCAGUAGCCGGACUGAGAGGUUGAACGGCCACAUUGGGACUGAGAUACGGCCCAGACUCCUACGGGAGGCAGCAGUGGGGAAUAUUGGGCAAUGGGCGCAAGCCUGACCCAGCAACGCCGCGUGAAGGAAGAAGGCUUUCGGGUUGUAAACUUCUUUGUCAGGGACGAGUAGAAGACGGUACCUGACGAAUAAGCCACGGCUAACUACGUAGCCAGCAGCCGACGG
rnacentral:rRNA from 1 species